rnacentral:rRNA from 1 species
AUUGAACGCUGGCGGCAGGCCUAACACAUGCAAGUCGAACGGUAACAGGAAGAAGCUUGUUUCUUUGCUGACGAGUGGCGGACGGGUGAGUAAUGUCUGGGAAACUGCCUGAUGGAGGGGGAUAACUACUGGAAACGGUAGCUAAUACCGCAUAACGUCGCAAGACCAAAGAGGGGGACCUUCGGGCCUCUUGCCAUCGGAUGUGCCCAGAUGGGAUUAGCUAGUAGGUGGGGUAACGGCUCACCUAGGCGACGAUCCCUAGCUGGUCUGAGAGGAUGACCAGCCACACUGGAACUGAGACACGGUCCAGACUCCUACGGGAGGCAGCAGUGGGGAAUAUUGCACAAUGGGCGCAAGCCUGAUGCAGCCAUGCCGCGUGUAUGAAGAAGGCCUUCGGGUUGUAAAGUACUUUCAGCGGGGAGGAAGGGAGUAAAGUUAAUACCUUUACUCAUUGACGUUACCCGCAGAAGAAGCACCGGCUAACUCCGU